rnacentral:rRNA from 1 species
UACAGAGGUCUCAAGCGUUGUUCGGAUUCAUUGGGCGUAAAGGGCGCGUAGGUGGCCCGGUCAGUCUUUGGUGAAAGCGCGGGGCUCAACCCUGCGUCGGCCAGGGAUACUGCCGCGGCUCGAGCACUGUAGAGGCAGGCGGAAUUCCGGGUGUAGCGGUGGAAUGCGUAGAGAUCCGGAAGAACACCGGUGGCGAAGGCGGCCUGACUGGGCCAGUUUAGCUGGACACUGAGGCGCGACAGCGUGGGG